GCUUUCUCUAGUUGUGGCAAGUGGGGGCCACUCUUCAUCGCGGUGCGCGGGCCUCUCACUAUCGCAGGCUCUCUUGUUGCGGAGCACAGGCUGCAGACGCGCAGGCUCAGUAAUUGUGGCUCACGGGCCCAGCCGCUCCGCGGCAUGUGGGAUCUUCCCAGACCAGGGCUUGAACCUGUGUCCCCUGCAUUGGCAGGCAGAUUCUCAACCCCUGCGCCACCAGGGAAGCCCAGCAACAUGUUCUUAACGUUGAAAGGGGCCAAAACAGUUGCCUUAAAUGAGUUAAUUGUGUGUCAGCACUUAAAAUAGUGCUUAGGGUGUUCUAAGUGCUAUGUAAGUGUUUGUUGUUGCCGUUAUUUCAUGUUAAUGAUUUUCCCAUCAUCAACUAACCUGAAAUAUGCCCUUUGCUGACAAGGCCCCCUCCUUCCCUCCUGCAGUAGUAUCUUCAAGACUCCAUAUAACCCAGAAAUUCAGACCUUGAACUGUUGAAGGAGAGAGCUGACUAGUACCCGAGAGUGUCUUGGUUUCCUCUUUUUCUUGCCUUUCUAGGGGAGAGGCAGCCAGCAGUACUGGUUACCGCAGCACAUGCAGCAACAAUAGAGACGACCAGCAGUGCUGGGGGCAGAAAGGUGGCCAUGGCAAAAGUGCGGGUCACAGCGAGGGCAGCAGAGCCUGCAGCACACAGCAGGGCCCUGGACCAGGGCAGGGUACUGGUGGGGCCCCGGAGGAACUCAGUGCCCAAAGGGGCAUUGUAGGCACCAUGUAGGUAACUUCCGGGGCACAAGGAAGUAGAUGAGACAUCUGGCCACAUGGCCAAGGGUGGGGUGGGGUUGUAGAUGCCAAGGGGUUUAACAGUUAGUGGGGCGAAGUUGCUUAAACCUUGACUGGAGAUUUUGCAGGAGGGUGUUUCAUAUACUGCCCCCUCAGUGGUGGCGGUAUGUGCAUGUGUGUGUGUGACGCCCGCAUGCAUCUGUGCAUGUGUAUAUGGACAUCUUUUUGCAUGCAACAGUGGCAAUAGGAGAUUCAAUCCCCCAGUAAAAAGGAGUCAAACUUCAUAUUUAGAGUAAAUAGACAAAUAAGUGAACAUUGCUGGGUAAUCAACCUGAUACACAUUUUUGCCUCUACAGUGGAGUUGCAUUUCAUACACAUACACAUUUAAUUUAUGGGAAUUCAACUAAAAGUGCUUGGCUUAGCAAACCAACAGCCUACACAACAAUAUAAAACAAGAUAAAGGUGAGAGAAGGACAAAAAUAUUUAUUUUAAUCAUGCAUCCACCAUGACACCAACAACCGGUGCUCCCCUGCGUGUCUAGCUCUUGUGUGAUUCUCAGAGAGGAGCAUCUUGCUGCUCUGUGGGAUUCUAGCCCUUAAAGACAUGGUUGUGUUUUUUGUUUUUUGUUUUUUUUUAAUAGAACGUGCACUCUAGAUGCAAGCCAGCUACCUUAUUCAGAACUCAAUGAAGAAUACCAACUUCUCGCUCUUCUUACAAAAUUAAAAAAUGUUGAAAAUUAUAUUUUUCACUUAUAUUAAGUAGAAUCAUUUGAAAGUGAUAUAUAUUACUGAGUAGAGCUGUAUAUACAAAAUUAUGCAUUCCAAAUUAGUUUAAGGGCAUAACAAAUUUAGCUGCUACGUGAUUUUAUUUUACAUGCUGACUUUAGACCUAUCCCUGCAUAAAACAUGGCUCCUCUAUAUGAUUUCUGUUACAUAUAAUGAAUCAAAACAAACGUCUCAUUUGUAGGUGUUGAAUUAGUGUGGCACAGAGGGUGUGUCAAAAUUCAAUGUUUAUCAUUUUAUUUCAUACAAAACAACAAUAGAUCCUUAAGAGCUGGGUGGGUUGAGCAUUGAAAAGUGAAGAUGAAGUUUAAAUGUAGCAUCUAGGGAAGGAAGGGCCAAGGGAUGUUGGAAAACAACCCUUUUCAUAUCUCAAAGGGACUGAACAGUAAUGGGUAGAAAUGUGGUAGAGUUGCCACAAGGACGUGAACUUGGCUAUGUAAAUUGCAAAACCCAAGUCUGGUUUACCUGGUCUUAUGUGACAAUGUGAAUAUUAUAAACUGAUUAUCAUAUUUGAGGCAUCUGUGCCCACCCCCAGCCCUACAUUUUAGCCAUGCUGUGUAAUGGUGUGAAGAAACCAUUGAUCCAAAGCAAUCUUGUGGCCGCCCCUCUGUGGGACUGAAAGUGCCUUUGAUUCUGCCUGUUACCAUCCCUGUUCUUUUUCUGGAAUUAUCAAUUCUUCUGCGGGUUCAACCUGCCUGGAUUUCUUGUUCUCUGGAGGCAGAAGAGCCUCCUGGGAGGUGAACUCAAGCUGGGGCUCAGGAGCAUUGGCUCUGGGCAAGCUGGUGAGAUGGCCUGACACUUGUGUUUUGAGGGGGGGUGAGAAACUUCCUGGGAGGAAAGGAUCUGAGCACAGGGAAUGUGACCCAGAACAAAGUCUUAGUCAUCAGAGCUAAGGGAGGAAGCUGUGAAUACAAUGCAUCAGCCCUCCAGUGGGGGUUAAACUCAAUAUGAACUCUUUUGGUUUUAAGUUUUUCUAGGACUUCAAAUUAUCUCCUUACAUAUAGCAUGGAAUUAUAUGGCUUUAUAAAGAGUAGUUUCAAAUGUAUGAAUGUGAAAUAAGUUUAUUAUGCUCUAAAACUUUAACUUGUCUUAUCUGUGGAUAAUUUAAGCCUCUUGUUAUGGGGCAGAAGUAUGAGGUUUUGGCUUUCCUGUUGUGUAUUCUUUAGACUUUGGAAUGUUAAUAAUGUAACUAAUUUUUCAAAAUAAGAAAAUACUUCGGAAGAUUUCCCAACACAUUUCAAGAAUAGUUUGGGAAGAAAGUUUGUUUUCUCAGUUUGUUCUAUGUGAUUUCCACACAUACUUCCUAAAGCAAAAUCAAUAUGCAAUAAAAUCCUGGAGCUGGUGCUGUCAGUUUCUCACUAAUAAGUACAUUAGAUCGAAUCCCCUGUCCUACUCAUGUACUCUCCCUACAUUCUCUUUCCAGGUACACUUUGAGAAAACCAAAUGCAAAAAUGUCUUGCUGCGUGAUCAUUUCUAUCUUGCACUAUCCUCUUACCUCUUGCACUUUUUUUUUUUCCUGCUUCCAGUAGAAGUUCUACAAACCUGCAUGGUAUCUUUUUUUUUUUUUUUUUUUUUUUUUAACUUUACAGGAAGGAAGGAGAGAAAGUCAAUUUACAAGAAUGAUUGGCUGCUUUUCCUGAUUAUAGAGGAGGGAGAGCAAAAGACAGCAAGCAAGGCUCUAUCCUCUGUUGUUUAAUUCUUACCUCUAUUUUCCCUCUUUCAGAUUGGUGUCAGAGUUCACCACAGUUCCAGAGGAGGUUGACCUGACCAUCAGCAGGGCUACUUAGAGGCCUGGUCCUUCUUCACAGCAAGUGGGCUUGGGCCCAACUCUGAAUCCAGCCAUGCAAACACUGCCCGUGAAACCCUAGCAGGGCUACCAAGAAAAUACUACUGAGACAUCAAGACACUGUGAAUGGGGAAUGUUUGGGAGCCUCUGGAUUAAACUGUCCUUGCUUUUGUCUGUAUGUGGCUAAGAGUUCUCUUGUGGGUCAUUGCUACCAUUUUAAAAUUUACUUCUGGGGCUUCCCUGGUGGCGCAGUGGUUGAGAAUCUGCCUGCCAAUGCAGGGGACACGGGUUCGAGCCCUGGUCUGGGAAGAUCCCACAUGCCGUGGAGCAACUGGGCCCGUGAGCCACAACUACUGAGCCUGCGCGUCUGGAGCCUGUGCCCUGCAACAAGAGAGGCCACGACAGUGAAAGACCCGUGCACCGCGAUGAAGAGUGGCCCCCGCUCACCACAACUAGAGAAAGCCUUCGCACAGAAACGAAGACCCAACACAGCCAAAAAUAAAUAAAUAAAUUUAUAAAAUUUA